rnacentral:rRNA from 1 species
UCCUACGGGAGGCAGCAGUAGGGAAUCUCCGCAAUGGACGAAAGUCUGACGGAGCAACGCCGCGUGAGUGAAGAAGGUCUUCGGAUCGUAAAGCUCUGUUGUUAGGGAAGAACAAGUAUCGGAGGAAAUGCCGGUACCUUGACGGUACCUGACGAGAAAGCCACGGCUAACUACGUGCCAGCAGCCGCGGUAAUACGUAGGUGGCAAGCGUUGUCCGGAAUUAUUGGGCGUAAAGCGCGCGCAGGCGGUCCUUUAAGUCUGAUGUGAAAUCUUGCGGCUCAACCGCAAGCGGUCAUUGGAAACUGGGGGACUUGAGUGCAGAAGAGGAAAGCGGAAUUCCACGUGUAGCGGUGAAAUGCGUAGAGAUGUGGAGGAACACCAGUGGCGAAGGCGGCUUUCUGGUCUGUAACUGACGCUGAGGCGCGAAAGCGUGGGGAGCAAACAGGAUUAGAUACCCUGGUAGUCCACGCCGUAAACGAUGAGUGCUAAGUGUUGGAGGGUUUCCGCCCUUCAGUGCUGCAGUAACGGCAUUAAGCACUCCGCCUGGGGAGUACGGUCGCAAGACUGAAACUCAAAGGAAUUGACGGGGGCCCGCACAAGCGGUGGAGCAUGUGGUUUAAUUCGAGCAACGCGAAGAACCUUACCAGGUCUUGACAUCUCCUUCGCCCUGGAGACAGGGUCUUCCCUUCGGGGACAGGAUGACAGGUGGUGCAU